UACGUAGGGUGCGAGCGUUGCCCGGAAUUACUGGGCGUAAAGCGCACGUAGGUGGCUUGGCAAGUCGGGUGUGAAAUCCCCGGGCUCAACCUGGGAACUGCAUUCGAGACUGCCUUGCUAGAGUAUGGGAGAGGGAAGUGGAAUUUCCGGUGUAGCGGUGAAAUGCGUAGAUAUCGGAAGGAACAUCAGUGGCGAAGGCGACUUCCUGGACCAAUACUGACACUCAGGUGCGAAAGCGUGGGGAGCAAACAGG
rnacentral:rRNA from 1 species